UGGGGAAUAUUGCACAAUGGGGGAAACCCUGAUGCAGCGACGCCGCGUGAACGAAGAAGGUAUUCGUAUCGUAAAGUUCUGUCCUAUGGGAAGAUAAUGACAGUACCAUAGAAGAAGGCUCCGGCUAAAUACGUGCCAGCAGCCGCGGUAAUACGUAUGGAGCGAGCGUUGUCCGGAAUUAUUGGGCGUAAAGGGUACGCAGGCGGUUUAAUAAGUCGAAUGUUAAAGAUCGGGGCUCAACCCCGUAAAGCAUUGGAAACUGAUAAACUUGAGUAGUGGAGAGGAAAGUGGAAUUCCUAGUGUAGUGGUGAAAUACGUAGAUAUUAGGAGGAAUACCAGUAGCGAAGGCGACUUUCUGGACACAAACUGACGCUGAGGUACGAAAGCGUGGGGAGCAAACAGG
rnacentral:rRNA from 1 species